rnacentral:rRNA from 1 species
GACGAACGCUGGCGGCGUGCUUAACACAUGCAAGUCGAACGGAAAGGCCCCUCUGGGGGUACUCGCGUGACGAACGGGCGAGUAACACGUGAGUAACCAGCCCUUGCCUUCGGGAUAACUUCAGGAAACUGGGGCGAAUACCGGAUAGGAAUCCUUGCUGCAUGGUGGGGGUUGGAAAGCUUCGGCGGGUUUGGGUGGACUCGCGGGUUAUCUGCUUGUUGGUGGGGUGGUGGGUUACCAAGGAUUUGACGGGUAGCCGGCCUGGGGGGGCGACCGGCCACCUUGGGGCUGAGGUGCGGCCCCGGCUCCUACGGGGGGCAGCAGGGGGGAAUAUUGCCCAAUGGGCGGGAGCCUGAUGCAGCAACGCCGCGUGCGGGAUGACGGCCUUCGGGUUGUAAACCGCUUUCAGCAGGGGCGAAGCUUGUGGUGACGGUACCUGCAGAAGAAGCACCGGCUAACUACGUG